rnacentral:rRNA from 1 species
UACGUAGGGUCCAAGCGUUAAUCGGAAUUACUGGGCGUAAAGCGUGUGCAGGCGGUUUUGUAAGUCUGUCGUGAAAUCCCCGGGCUCAACCUGGGAAUUGCGAUGGAGACUGCAAGGCUAGAAUCUGGCAGAGGGGGGUAGAAUUCCACGUGUAGCAGUGAAAUGCGUAGAGAUGUGGAGGAACACCGAUGGCGAAGGCAGCCCCCUGGGUCAAGAUUGACGCUCAUGCACGAAAGCGUGGGGAGCAAACAGG